GACGAACGCUGGCGGCGUGCUUAACACAUGCAAGUCGAACGGAAAGGCCCCUUUGGGGGUACUCGAGUGGCGAACGGGUGCGUAACACGUGAGUAACCUGCCCUUGACUUCGGGAUAACUUCAGGAAACUGGGGCUAAUACCGGAUAGGAAUCCUUGCUGCAUGGUGGGGGUUGGAAAGCUUCGGCGGUUUUGGAUGGACUCGCGGCUUAUCAGCUUGUUGGUGGGGUAGUGGCUUACCAAGGCUUUGAUGGGUAGCCGGCCUGAGAGGGCGACCGGCCACAUUGGGACUGAGAUACGGCCCAGACUCCUACGGGAGGCAGCAGUGGGGAAUAUUGCACAAUGGGCGGAAGCCUGAUGCAGCAACGCCGCGUGCGGGAUGACGGCCUUCGGGUUGUAAACCGCUUUCAGCAGGGGCGAAGCUUGUGGUGACGGUACCUGCAGAAGAAGCACCGGCUAACUACGUG
rnacentral:rRNA from 1 species